GGUUAUGUUUGGAAGCUUGAAAGUCGAAGGGUCAAAUGUGGAUUUAAUGACAUUUUCUAAAGCUGCCAGAGUAUCUGUAAUAAUUAAACCAUCAGAUGAUUUUGAAGUUCCUCAUAUGCCAUGAAUAGAGAGGAUUAAAUACCAAAUGGGAUUGGCACAUACUGUUGGUACUAAUGCUCUGGACCAGUUUAAAUGUUUUGGUUUAUACAUUUUUUCAAUAUUACAGUGUCUCUACAGCUCAUUUGGUUCUUUUUGAUCUUUUGUCAAGUGUUUGGCUCCACAGUCUUGGAUUCCGAGGUCUCAAGUGAACAUGAUGACAUCCAAAGUCAUUUGGCAAUUGUUCUUUGUAAACAGUCGAGUCCAUGCAUUUAAUGCUCUUGAAAUAAAUUUUUAUUGAGGUGUUUGUUCAAUUGUACCGUGGUUAUCCUUUCAAUAAGUUGGUGGUGCUGGUGACAUUGCAAAGAAUUGCACUUGUUUUCUUCAUCUCUCAUUGUGGACCCAGACAAGCACCAUGUAUACAUAUAGGGCCUACCACACACGUUUCAUUAUUUUCUAGGUUGGUCCAUUAUUGCGUUUUGAUGAUAUCGAAUUUCUUUCCCUCAUGGGCUAUGUAUGGUUCUAGCUGUGUAGAAGAUCAAGUUAAUCGUCCCAUAUUUGAGGAUAAUCUGAUGCGAGCUCAAUUCCUCUUUCAGCAUCCUUGGAAACCAAAAUCAUUACAAGAUACGUGGUGGAUAGGUAAGCUAGGCAGAUGGGUGGGGUUAGGCAGGGUGGUGAGGUGGCAGGAUUGGUGCUUCCACGUAAAUUGACAUGCAAAUGCUGCCAUAGAGGCAGGCUUCUGAAAUAUGAUUAUGUUGCAAACAUGGAAAACAAAAAACUUGCAUGUGAGAUUAGUUCGUCUGAUAUAUUAUCAGUGUUGAGUAAACAAAGCACAUACUCAGACAUAUCCCUCUGUUUUUUUAAAUUGUUUUAUAUUAUUAGGGUCUAAGGCAAGAUAUCAUAAAUAUUUACGGAAGAGGUGAUAAAAAAAAGCUUGCACUGUUAGUGGAUGCCUGAACAUAAAACGUUUUUUAAGCAGCAUUAUAAACUGUUUGGGAACAAAUUAAUGUGAAUGGGGCUUUUGAAAGAAAGGGUGGUAUAUUAUAUUGGUGGUUGUAACAAAUUGUGAUAAUGUUGUUCUCUUUGCCUAAUCAAUCUCUGUUUCUGGUUUAGUGAUUUUUGUCUCAGCUGGAAUGGCUUUGAUGGUUUGUUCCUUGUUUGGUGUCUAGGUCUAGGUCUAGAGUGUUUAGUCUUUGUUCUCAAGUUUGUGCUAUCUUGUUUGUGUCAGUUUUAUCCUCUUUUUUCUUUGGAUCUCAUAAAUAUGUCUUGUUCUUUUCAUGUUAUGCAAUUUCUUUUUUUGUUAGAAGAAAAAGAAGAACAAGAAAGGCAGCUACUGAUUUGUUGAGAGAAGUUUUCCAGUCACCCUAAUUGGUUUUGAGUUUUUUUUUCCAGUAUUUUUUUGUUUUAGUAAACUUAUUUUUAUAUUUUAAUAUAUUUUUCUUUUUAAAUGUACUUAAUAUAGAUUUAGACACACUUAAAAAGUAACAUAUUUGUGAAUUUUUUUUCC